rnacentral:tRNA from 1 species
GGGGCUGUAGCUCAGUUGGGAGAGCGCUUGAAUGGCAUUCAAGAGGUCAGGGGUUCGACUCCCCUCAGCUCCACAA